CCUACGGGGGGCAGCAGUGGGGGAUAUUGGACAAUGGGGGGAACCCUGAUCCAGCGACGCCGCGUGAGUGAAGAAGUAUUUCGGUAUGUAAAGCUCUGUCAGCAGGGAAGAAAGCAAUGACGGUACCUGACCAAGAAGCCCCGGCUAACUACGUGCCAGCAGCCGCGGUAAUACGUAGGGGGCAAGCGUUAUCCGGAAUUACUGGGUGUAAGGGGAGCGUAGACGGCUGUGCAAGUCUGGGGUGAAAGGCGGGGGACCAACCCCCGGACUGCUCUGGAAACUGUAUGGCUGGAGUGCAGGAGAGGUAAGCGGAAUUCCUAGUGUAGCGGUGAAAUGCGUAGAUAUUAGGAGGAACACCAGUGGCGAAGGCGGCUUACUGGACUGUAACUGACGUUGAGGCUCGAAAGCGUGGGGAGCAAACAGGAUUAGAUACCCUUGUAGUC
rnacentral:rRNA from 1 species